GAAAAGAGUGUGCAGCCUCCAGAGGAGGGAAUGGAAUACGUAAGAGGGCAUGAGAUGUGCUCCAACAUGUGCUGGCAGGAGCAGUCAGAGAAGACUGGCUACAGAAGCUCAUCAAGAAAUGCAAAAGACAUGACCUGCUAUGUAAGGUAUCAGUGAGACCUUCCUUUCUGAAGAGGUUUUUUUCCUUUAAUGCUCAUUAUUUCUGAGAGCC
rnacentral:lncRNA from 1 species